rnacentral:rRNA from 1 species
UACGAAGGGGGCUAGCGUUGUUCGGAUUUACUGGGCGUAAAGCGCACGUAGGCGGAUUGUUAAGUCAGGGGUGAAAUCCUGGAGCUCAACUCCAGAACUGCCUUUGAUACUGGCAAUCUAGAGUCCGGAAGAGGUGAGUGGAACUCCUAGUGUAGAGGUGGAAUUCGUAGAUAUUAGGAAGAACACCAGUGGCGAAGGCGGCUCACUGGUCCGGUCCUGACGCUGAGGUGCGAAAGCGUGGGGAGCAAACAGG